UUUCUCUCUUACAUGGUAUGUGGUUGUGGAUCAAGUCAAAGUAGGAAUUAGUUUGGAUUUCAAAUUCUUUGAGUUAGAAUUUUAGGAAACCAAAACUCUUUCCUUAUAGCACUGAUUUUAUCUAAUUUUUUUUUGAAAUUUUUAUGGCUUUUAUUGCAUAUAUUAUGUACCCUUUUCUAGUGGUCCAUGGCAAAAAAAGAAGGAGGGGG
rnacentral:lncRNA from 1 species